rnacentral:rRNA from 1 species
UACGAACUGUGCGAACGUUAUUCGGAAUCACUGGGCUUACAGGGUGCGUAGGCGGCUUAGCAAGUCAGGUGUGAAAGCCCCCGGCUCAACCGGGGAACUGCGCUUGAAACUGCUGAGCUCGAGUCAGCUAGAGGUACACGGAACUUCCAGUGGAGCGGUGAAAUGUGUUGAUAUUGGAAGGAACACCGGAGGCGAAAGCGGUGUACUGGGGCUGGUCUGAUGCUGAGGCACGAAAGCCAGGGGAGCGAACGGG